rnacentral:misc_RNA from 1 species
GAUGAAGAACGUAGCGAAAUGCGAUACGUAAUGUGAAUUGCAAAUUCAGUGAAUCAUCGAGUCUUUGAACGCACAUUGCGCCCCCUGGUAUUCCGGGGGGCAUGCCUGUCCGAGCGUCAUUGCUGCCCUCAAGCACGGCUUGUGUGUUGGGCCCCGUCCUCCGAUCCCGGGGGACGGGCCCGAAAGGCAGCGGCGGCACCGCGUCCGGUCCUCGAGCGUAUGGGGCUUUGUCACCCGCUCUGUAGGCCCGGCCGGCGCUUGCCGAUCAACCCAAAUUUUUAUCAAGGUUGACCUCGGAUCAGGUAGGGAUACCCGCUGAACUUAAGCAUAUCAAUAAGCGGAGGA